GCUCCCAUGGCGGAAUUGGUAGACGCGACAGACUCAAAAUCUGUUUCUAGCGAUAGAGUUCCGGUUCAAGUCCGGAUGGGAGCACCA
rnacentral:tRNA from 1 species